rnacentral:rRNA from 1 species
AUGGUUCACUUGUCCUCUGCCUGCUCCGUGGAGGAGAGGGCUGUCCUGAUGGACAUCCGGUCUUCACUGAGGAGAGCACACUCCAUGGUUUCGCCUGAUCUAUGGGGGCACGAUGAUGAUGAAUGCUGCUCGUGGAAGACUGUGACAUGCAACAAUAGCACCCGACGAGUGACUCAUCUCGACCUUUCCUCUGUAUAUGUAUCGGAGGCAGAUAAUCAUUGGAAUUUAAACUUGUCAGUGUUUUCUGCGUUCCAUGAGCUGCGGUACCUAGAUCUAUCACUCAAUUUUCCCUGUUCGCUAAGCUUUGAGGGUACGUUUGGAUUACAAACUCUCUCUGAGAACAAUACAUAUGUGUGGUCAUUUCUUAUUCUUGUAGCUGUAACAAAAACAACUGCAGGAUUGAUUGGACUACCCAGGCUUCGAUAUCUUGACCUCAGUCUCGCUUCGCUUGGAGGGGGUUCCCUGGAAUUUAUCGGGGCAUGUGUUUCACUGGAACUCUUAGCUCUCAACAACAACAACAUUACUGGAGGUUUUCAAGAUGCAGCUUUCAAUAAUCUUAGAAACUUGCGAGAACUGAGUAUGUCUAUGAGUGGCCUCAACGGAAACCUCCCGGCAUCGCUAUUUGCCCUUCCUCACCUGAAGAUCUUAGAUCUCUCACAAAAUUUAUUUGAUGGGCAUAUUCCAAUUAGUUCGUCGCCAGGACCAAUCUCACUUGAAGUCUUAGAUCUCAGCUAUAAUGACCUCAGUGGAAAUCUCCCGGUUACAGCCUUUAAAAACAUCAGGAACUUGAGUUUGCUUGGCAGCGGAUUUCUCCCUGUCUCAUCAAUAUUUGCACUUCCUCAUCUGAAGUUCCUAGAUCUCUCAUACAAUAAUUUUGAAGGAGGUUUUCCUGUUAAUUUCUCUUUGGAACCAGUUUCACUUGAAGUCUUAAAUCUCGAAAGUAAUAACAUGAGUGGAGCUCUUCCGACCGAACGAGCAUUUGAAAAUCUCCGGAACCUACGGCAUUUGUAUUUGAGUUACAACCAGUUCAGCGGAAGCAUUCCAACAUUAGCAUUUGAAAAUCUCCAGAACCUGCGAGAAUUGUCUUUGGGUUCCAAUCAAUUCAAUGGAAACAUUCCAGCAUUAUUGUUUUCUCUACCACAUAUUGAACUGCUGAAUCUCUCAUCAAACUUCUUCAGCGGACCAAUUCCUAUAAAUCCAUCUUUGAAUAUUUCAUUGUCACUUAAGAGUCUUCAGUUUUCCCAAAACAAUUUGAGUGGUAGGCUUUCUUUCACUUGGCUUGGAAGCCUCACAAAGCUAGAAGUAAUAGACCUUUCAGGCAAUGCUAACCUAGUUGUUGAUGUCAAUAUUCUUGGCGGGACACCUCCUUUCCAGUUGAAACAGCUAUUGCUCUCUGGUUGUGAUCUUGACAAGAGGAUUAUUGCAGAACCACGGUUUUUACGCAUGCAACGUCAUUUAGAGGUGCUUGACUUGUCCAACAAUAACUUGUCAGGUAGCAUGCCAAAUUGGUUGUUUACAAAGGAAGCAACACUACAAGAACUGCAUCUUGGAAAUAACUCGCUAACUGGAUCGCUACACCCAAUAUGGCAUACCCAAUCUUCUCUCCAGAUUAUCGACUUACACAUGAACCAUAUCACAGGACAGAUGCCAGCCAACAUCAGUUCAAUGUUUCCAGCGUUGGAUGUUCUGGAUUUUUCUAAUAACAACUUCUUUGGGCACAUACCAACUUCGUUGUGUGAGAUCCGGAUCAUGGUAAUUUUAGACCUAUCAAAGAACAAUUUUUCUGGGGAAGUUCCAGCUUGUGUGUUCACUAAUUAUCCCUUACUAAUGACCUUAAAGGUCUCAAACAACAAGCUUGGUGGUCUGAUUUUUGGUGGGAUGAAUAACCUGUCCAUUAUGUUGGAACUAUACCUGGAUGGUAACAAAUUCGAAGGGACAGUGCCUCGUAAUCUCUCAGGAGGGCUUUUAAAGGUCAUUGAUUUGCAUGAUAACGAGUUAUCUGGCAAACUUGAUACAUCAUUGUGGAAUAUGUCUUCGUUGAAAGUCCUGAAUCUUGCUGGCAACCGUAUAACCGGCAAAAUUCAUCCACAAAUUUGUGGCCUCACAAGCCUUGAACUUUUAGAUAUAUCAAGCAAUAAUCUUACAGGGUCCGUACCGAACUGCAGCUGCAUGUUGCUCCACUUCCUUAACCUCUCUGGGAAUUCCUUAUCUAGCCAUAUCUCUUAUCCCUUCUUCAACAUAUCAAGUCUGAUUUCUUUGGAUAUCAGAAACAAUCAGUUCGCAGGCAACCUCCAUUGGAUACGUUAUCUUGAUAACAUUAGGCUGCUUUCCUUGGGCGGAAAUGAGUUUGAAGGGCAGAUCACUCCAAACUUGUGUGAACUCCUGCACUUGAGGAUAAUUGACUUGUCUCAUAACAAGCUUUCAGGUUCAUUACCCUCAUGUAUUGGUAAUUUCUUUUUCAAAGGUGACACGGACGAUCAAAUGUUUCAUUCAGUAUAUGGGGGUUCAUUGGACUCACUUGGCAGUCCUUAUGACUUGAGAGGCUUCAGCUUUACUACCAAAGGGAAUCUGUACACAUAUGGUCAAAGUUUCUUCGUUUCAAUGUCCGGCAUUGACCUAUCUGCGAACAUGCUGCAUGGAGAAAUUCCUUGGGAGCUAGGAAAUAUGAGCCAUAUAAAAUCCCUUAACCUGUCAUACAAUUCCUUUGUUGGCCCGAUACCGACCACCUUUGGCGGCAUGGAGGAGAUAGAAAGUUUGGACCUCUCACACAAUGAGCUGAGUGGACCAGUACCUUGGCAGCUAACGCGGUUAUGUUCAUUGGGGGUGUUCUCUGUGGCAUACAACAACUUGUCAGGAUGUAUACCGAACUCUGGUCAGCUUGGCUCAUUCGGCAUGGACAGCUACCUAGCCAACACCAACCUCCACAUGAUUACACAGGGGAACAUGUGCACUCCUGGUCCAGAUCCCGUGGCGGAGGAAGAUGUGGGUGAGACGUCUGGUGACCCAAUCCUAUACAUCGUCAUGGCUGCCGGGUUUAUUUUGGCAUUCUGGGCCACCGUUGCCUUUUCAUUAUUCCAUCCGUACGGGAGGUCUGUAAUAUUCAAGCUGUAG